rnacentral:rRNA from 1 species
GACGUAGGGCGCGAGCGUUGUCCGGAUUUAUUGGGCGUAAAGAGCUCGUAGGCGGCUUGUCGCGUCGACCGUGAAAACUUGGGGCUCAACCCCAAGCCUGCGGUCGAUACGGGCAGGCUCGAGUUCGGUAGGGGAGACUGGAAUUCCUGGUGUAGCGGUGAAAUGCGUAGAUAUCGAGAGCAACACCUGCGGCGAAGGCGGGUUGCUGGGCUGAUACUGACGCUGAGGCGCGAAAGCCAGGGGAGCGAACGGG